rnacentral:rRNA from 1 species
GAUGAACGCUGGCGGCGUGCCUAAUACAUGCAAGUCGAACGGACGGACGAGAAUCUUGCUUCUCGCGUGUUAGCGGCGGGCGGGUGAGUAACACGUGGAUACCCUACCUAUAAGACUGGGAUGACGACGGGAAACCUUAUCUAAUACCGGAUAAUAUGUUGAACCGCGGGGUUCAAAAGUGAACGACGUUCUUGCUGGCACUUAUAGAUGUAUCCGCGCUGGAUUAGCUAGUUGGUAGGGUAACGGCUUACCAAGGCAACGAUGCGUAGCCGACCUGAGAGGGUGAUCGGCCACACUGGAACUGAGACACGGUCCAGACUCCUACGGGAGGCAGCAGUAGGGAAUUUUCGGCAAUGGGGGCAACCCUGACCGAGCAACGCCGCGUGCGUGAUGAAGGUCUUCGGAUCGUAAACCUCUGUUAUUAGGGAAGAACAUAUGUGGAAUUAAACGUGCACAGCAUGACGGUACCUAAUCAGAAAGCAACGGCUAACUACGUG